rnacentral:rRNA from 1 species
GAUGAACGCUAGCGGCAGGCCUAACACAUGCAAGCCGAGCGGUAGAGUUUCUUCGGUUUCUUGAGAGCGUCGUACGGUUGCGUAACACGUGUGCAACCUUCCUUUAUCUGUGGGUUAGCCUUUCGAUAGGAAGAUUUAUACCCCAUAAUAUAAUGCUUGGCAUCAAUUAUUAUUGAAAACUCCGGUGGAUAGAGAUGGGCACGCGCGAGAUUAGAUAGUUGGUGAGGUAACGGCUCACCAAGUCAAUGAUCAUUAGGGGUCCUGAGAGGGAGAUCCCCCACACGGGUACUGAGACACCGACCAGACUCCUACGGGACGCAGCAGUGAGGAAUAUUGAGCAAUGGGUGAGAACCUGAUACAGCCGUCCAGCGUGAAAGAUGACGGUGCUAUGGAUUGUAAGCUUCUUUUGUACAGGGAUAGACCUACCCUCGUGAGAGUAGCUGACGGUACUGUACGAAUAAGCACCGGCUAACUCCGUG